rnacentral:rRNA from 1 species
GACGAACGCUGGCGGCGUGCUUAACACAUGCAAGUCGAACGGUAAGGCCCUUUCGGGGGUACACGAGUGGCGAACGGGUGAGUAACACGUGAGUAACCUGCCCUUGACUCUGGGAUAACAUCUGGAAACAGGUGCUAAUACUGGAUAUUCUGCGCUGCCUGCAUGGGUGUUGUUGGAAAGUUCGGGCGGUCAGGGAUGGACUCGCGGCCUAUCAGCGUGUUGGUGAGGUAGUGGCUCACCAAGGCUUCGACGGGGAGCCGGAGUGAGAGGUUGACCGGCCACAUUGGGACUGAGAUACGGCCCAAACUCCUACGGGAGGCAGCAGUGGGGAAUAUUGCACAAUGGACGGAAGUCUGAUGCGGCAACGCCGCGUGCGGGAUGACGGCCUUCGGGUUGUAAACCGCUUUCAUCCAUGACGAAGCGAGAGUGACGGUAGUGGGAGAAGAAGCACCGGCUAACUACGUGCCAGCAGCCGCCGUAAUAC